rnacentral:rRNA from 1 species
GUCUCUGGGUUAAUGCUAUCUGGUCUGUACUUGGUAAAAGAAUGAUGGAGUGACGAAAAAGGAUAGUUCUACCACUUACUGGAUUGUGGGGUAAGCAACAAGAGAGUUAUAUAGGCAAAUCCGUAUAGCAUAAUCUUGAGUUGUGAUGCAUAGUGAAGACUUCGGUCGAGUAACGAAUUGAAUGAUUUCAUGUUUCCAAGAAAAGCUUCUAGUGUUAAUUUUUUAUCAACCUGUACCGAGAACGAACACACGUUCCCAAGAUGAGUAUUCUAAGGCGAGCGAGAAAACCAAUGUUAAGGAACUCUGCAAAAUAACCCCGUAAGUUCGCGAGAAGGGGCGCCUAUUUUUAAUAGGCCACAAA